rnacentral:rRNA from 1 species
UACGAAGGGGGCUAGCGUUGCUCGGAAUCACUGGGCGUAAAGGGUGCGUAGGUGGUGAGGUAAGUCGGAUGUGAAAGCUCGGAGCUCAACUCCGAAAUGGCAUUGGAAACUACCUUGCUCGAGGGUUGGAGGGGGGACUGGAAUACUUGGUGUAGCAGUGAAAUGCGUAGAUAUCAAGUGGAACACCAGUGGCGAAGGCGAGUCCCUGGACAACUCCUGACACGAGGCACGAAAGCUAGGGGAGCAAACAGG